AAUCAACGCUGGCGGCGUGCCUAACACAUGCAAGUUGAGCGCGAAAGGGGGGUAACUCCCCGAGUAGAGCGGCGAACGGGUGAGUAACGCGUGGGUGAUCUACCUUCGAGUGGGGAAUAACAUCGGGAAACUGGUGCUAAUACCGCAUGACAUCCCGGGGUCAAAUCUGGGAUCAAAGCCGGGGACCGCAAGGCCUGGCGCUUGAAGAGGAGCCCGCGUCCGAUUAGCUAGUUGGCGGGGUAACGGCCCACCAAGGCUACGAUCGGUAGC
rnacentral:rRNA from 1 species